CACCAUCAGAGCACCUGCAUCCUCAAGAUGCACCUCAAUGUUCUUCAAAUCACCAAUGAUUUUGUUGAACUCGACAAGUAGCUCCAUGAUGGCCUUUGACUUUACAAUCCAAUGAGUAAAGUUGUUGAUUUGGGACUUGCCGAUGAGCCAAAGACUUUGUCAUAUACAAAGAUUCCAACUUUGCCCACAUCGAUGUCGC
rnacentral:lncRNA from 1 species